rnacentral:rRNA from 1 species
UACGUAGGGUCCGAGCGUUGUCCGGAAUUAUUGGGCGUAAAGAGCUCGUAGGCGGUUUGUCGCGUCUGCUGUGAAAUCCCGAGGCUCAACCUCGGGCCUGCAGUGGGUACGGGCAGACUUGAGUGCGGUAGGGGAGAAUGGAAUUCCUGGUGUAGCGGUGGAAUGCGCAGAUAUCAGGAGGAACACCGAUGGCGAAGGCGGUUCUCUGGGCAUUACCUGACGCUGAGGAGCGAAAGUGUGGGGAGCGAACAGG